GACCCGCACGAAAGGCGUAACGAUUUGGGCACUGUCUCAACAACAGACUCGGUGAAAUUGUAAUUCCGGGGAAGAUGCCGGAUACCUGCGACAGGACGGAAAGACCCCAUGGAGCUUUACUGUAGCUUGACAUUGGGUUUUGGUACUACAUGUACAGGAUAGGUGGGAGGCUUUGAAACCAGGACGCCAGUUUUGGCGGAGCCAUCCU
rnacentral:rRNA from 1 species